GGGAAACGAGGCUUCCGGGCGCUUCAAUCACUUUAAAAUAUUUUGAAUACUAGUAUAUGAAGUCAUUUUUAGAUUGAAUUGGUAUUUGGCUGUAUCCCAUGAAAUUUAAUAGGUGCUGCUAUUGGAUCUUUAUCCAUUUUUUCUGUAUACAUCCCUGUACACAAAUCUGUCAUUUACGCUGUGAGAAGAGAGAUGUUUUUCUAACCCAUUUUUGGGGUCCAUUUUAUUUUGAAUACCGGUAUAGUCUUUGGAUUGUAUAUCGUAAAGAGGUUUUCAAUUCCCCACUCUGUCAGAGUUCUGACUCAUGUUUGAAGAUAACCGAAUAGGGAUCCUAUAGAGAGGCGACAGUUGUUCCAAAAAGCACAGUCCCAUUUUGCAAAGUGGUUUAUGACAGCCUAAACGGUUCUAAAGACCAUUAUAGGUUCCCCAUCAUUUUUAAAAAAUCUUCUGAUAGCUCCAUAAGUGCAUACCAGCCGGCCAAACGCUGCUAGACAGUUUUUUAUCCCCUGAAGAAGUCCGCUUAGGAUGAAACGCGUAGGGUUCAUCGAUCAUUGUACACUAUCCUCUCUGCUUCAAGUGUCCUCCUAGAGCUCACACCGUUAGGUGAUUAUUUCUGGUGAGUGGGUUUCUCUGUAGGCCCCAACUGGGAAGACUCUGAGAGGAAUAGACCCCAAGAGAACCUUCUAUAUGUGGAUGAAUUGAUUAUCACUCAAACAUCAUAGUUUGUUAGCGCACUCUGUUCUUUCUGUGUUUCUAUUGCUAAGUCCCUAUUAGCAGGGGGGCUUUCAGUUGUGCUGCUCAUUUGUAAGCGCAGGAAAGGUAUUGAAUUUUUUGAAGAAUAAAUAUAUGUUCACUUCAUACACAAUUUACAAAGGAAGAACAAGAAACAAAUAAUUCCAGCGCGUCACCACCACCUAACUCAUACAAUUUGGGUCGUAUGUGCUGAAAUAAGCAGCUCUCAACUGGACAGUACUGGCCUGUCCACAUACAAAACAGCACAAAGGAUAAUAAUAGAUUAUCAGAGAGCGCAUAUAACUGUAUAGCUCAGUUUUAUUGCAUAUAUAUUAAAAAAUAAAAUAAACACAUGUACAUAUAAAAAUAGAAUAAACAAUCAAUUAAAAAGUUCCCCCUGCUGCAGCGGAUUAGAUAUAAAUAGACACUAGUGCUAUGUCCAAAUUUGUAGAGCUUGAUGUGACUUUAUUCUCAAUUAGAAAGUCCCGAACAGUAUACAGUCCGAUUUAAGAACAAUUAUAGUGCCUGCUGUUUUAAUUCAGCUGUAAGCAUUCUCAACAUGCUAAUAGAGAUCUCUUUAUAUAUCAAAUAGCCGCCGGCUAUCCACUGCCGUUAAUUGAUGCCGCUGAACGGCCAAGUGCUUUGAGUAUUUAUGCUCCGGUAUCUGUGUCAAAAGGACUUUUUUCGUCCACUCUCACUGUGCUAAUAGGCCAUAUUUGCAAGAAUGUCCACUUUAUACUCACAGCCAGGAGUAUAUCCGUUUGUUAUCCGUGGACGGCCCCCGUUUAUUCUACAUUGAUGUUCCUCCCGCUACCAGCGGUCUACGGUCAAGCAAUAUCUCUUGGUGCUAUUGUCCGUUUGGAAGCUGACCGACUUUAGAGAUCCUCCGAUGUACUCCGCAAUAAAGAAAGGCGCUUCCUCUCGACUGUGACUGAGACCGACAACGGGGGCCGCCCACGGAUAACAAACGGCUGGCUGUGAGUAUACAGUGGACAUUGGACUUGGCCGUUCAGCGGCAUCAAUUAACGGCAGUGGAUAGCCGGCGGCUAGGGAGAGGGGGCAUGCCAGCAGCUCACAGAGCGCUGGGCAUGCCCCCUCAUUGACGAAAAUGGUGGCGUGGCUCGCGAUCGCGGGUCCUCCUGCGAAGCCACGCCCCCUUUUAAUAGAUCACGCCCCCUUUUUGGGAGCACGUGCGGUGAAGCCAGGACAAAGUUGGGAGGUAUGCCCAAAGUACAGACAGGAGAAAUACUGUAGCACCUAUCCUAUAACAUUAAAGUGUGGAGCUAUUGGGUUUCUUAAUAUUUAUCUGUAAAAAAUACAUUUGUAGAUUUGUGGACUGUGCAAAAGUAAACAUAUUACCUAAAGUGAUUGACUACUAUCAUUUUAACAACACCCAUAACUGCAUAUUGUUAUUUUUCUCUCAAAAUAUUCCUUCAUUUAUAUAUUACACUAGUUAUGAUGGUAGCAAGUUUCACCAAUUCACUUUUAGAUUACUUUGCAUUUUUAUCAGUCUAUGUACAAAUAUGUAUGUGCCCAGAUGGCUGUGUCUUACCGGGACCCCUGUGUGUGUCUUACCGGGACCCCUGUGUGUGUCUUACCGGGACCCCUGUGUUGUCUUACCGGGACCCCUGUGUGACUACAAAAAACGUGCAGACAGCAGCUGAAUUGACAUUGCAUUCAGAUAUGCUCAGUUUACACUUCUGCAAUUCAUUAGACCAGGGGUCAGGAACCUUUUUUCUACCAAGGGCCAUUUGGAUAUUUAUAAAAUCCUUCGGGGGCCAUACAAAAAUUAUCAACUUAAAAAUGACCCUGCCCCCCAGUAGUUAUGCCCCAGUAGAUAUGCCUCCAGUAGUUAUGCCCCCAGCAGAUAUGCCCCCUAGGGGCACUGUGUGUGCGCGCCGAAGGCGCAUGCGUCAAAAAAUGGGUGUGGCCACAUGCCACACAGGGCAUGGCCAAUUAAAAUGGGACGUGAUACACAUAUGCCACAAAUAGUGCAGUGCCAGACACACAUAUGCCCCACAGUGCCAGAUACACAGAUGCCCCCACAGUGCCAGAUACACAAGUGCCCCACAGUGCCAGAUACACAAAUGCCCCCACAGUGCCAGAUACACAAGUGCCCCACAGUGCCAGAUACACAAGUGCCCCACAGUGCCAGAUACACAAGUGCCCCCACAGUGCCAGAUACACAAAUGCCCCCACAGUGCCAGAUACACAAAUGCCCCCACAGUGCCAGAUACACAAGUGCCCCACAGUGCCAGAUACACAAGUGCCCCACAGUGCCAGAUACACAAGUGCCCCACAGUGCCAGAUACACAAGUGCCCCACAGUUCCAGAUACACAAGUGCCCCACAGUGCCAGAUACACAAGUGCCCCACAGAGCCAGAUACACAAAUGCCCCACAGAGCCAGAUACACAAAUGCCCCACAGUGCCAGAUACACAAAUGCCCCACAGUGCCAGAUACACAAGUGCCCCACAGUUCCAGAUACACAAAUGCAGCACAAUGCCAGAUACAUAUUACCCCACACAUGCCCCCCACCCCACUGUGCUGCUCACCGCUGCUGCUGUGUGUGUGUGUGUCAGGG